rnacentral:tRNA from 1 species
UAUCUCAUGGCGUAGUGGUUAACGCGCCCCAACUAGAGAUCGGGGAGUCGUGAGUUCGAUUCUCACUGAGAAGA